UACGAAGGGGGCUAGCGUUGUUCGGAAUCACUGGGCGUAAAGGGUGCGUAGGCGGAUUCUUAAGUCAGGGGUGAAAUCCCGAGGCUCAACCUCGGAACUGCCUUUGAUACUGGGGAUCUUGAGUCCGGAAGAGGUGAGUGGAACUGCGAGUGUAAGAGGUGAAAUUCGUAGAUAUUCGCAAGAACACCGGUGGCGAAGGCGGCCAACUGGACCAUUACUGACGCUGGAGGCGACGAAAGCGUGGGGAGCAAACAGG
rnacentral:rRNA from 1 species